rnacentral:tRNA from 1 species
GGGGCGGUAGCUCAGUUGGGAGAGCAUCGCUUUCGCAAUGCGAAGGUCGUAAGUUCGAUCCUUAUCCGCCCCA